rnacentral:rRNA from 1 species
GAUGAACGCUGGCGGCGUGCCUAAUACAUGCAAGUCGAGCGAACGGACGAGAAGCUUGCUUCUCUGAUGUUAGCGGCGGACGGGUGAGUAACACGUGGAUAACCUACCCAUAAGACUGGGAUAACUUCGGGAAACCGGAGCUAAUACCGGAUAAUAUUUUGAACCGCAUGGUUCAAAAGUGAAAGACGGUCUUGCUGUCACUUAUAGAUGGAUCCGCGCUGCAUUAGCUAGUUGGUAAGGUAACGGCUUACCAAGGCAACGAUGCAUAGCCGACCUGAGAGGGUGAUCGGCCACACUGGAACUGAGACACGGUCCAGACUCCUACGGGAGGCAGCAGUAGGGAAUCUUCCGCAAUGGGCGAAAGCCUGACGGAGCAACGCCGCGUGAGUGAUGAAGGUCUUCGGAUCGUAAAACUCUGUUAUUAGGGAAGAACAUAUGUGUAAGUAACUGUGCACAUCUUGACGGUACCUAAUCAGAAAGCCACGGCUAACUACGUGCCAGCAGCCGCGGUAAUACGUAGGUGGCAAGCGUUAUCCGGAAUUAUUGGGCGUAAAGCGCGCGUAGGCGGUUUUUUAAGUCUGAUGUGAAAGCCCACGGCUCAACCGUGGAGGGUCAUUGGAAACUGGAAAACUUGAGUGCAGAAGAGGAAAGUGGAAUUCCAUGUGUAGCGGUGAAAUGCGCAGAGAUAUGGAGGAACACCAGUGGCGAAGGCGACUUUCUGGUCUGUAACUGACGCUGAUGUGCGAAAGCGUGGGGAUCAAACAGG